UUUGUUUCCCAGAACCGGGGAAGAUUACCGUAGAAGGGAGGACCCUGUGGGGAAGAAGCUUCCAGAGACCUCUGGAGAGAAAACACACCCCUGGGUGGAGAUUUAAGAUGCUAAUGAGACACGCAACUUCUGAACAAGCAGGUGCAGGUACUGCGCAUGUGCACCCAGAGGACCUCCCCCCAACAUGUUUCCUAGCAACGCCUCUGCCCACCCGCUGAUUAUCUUGGCACCAUGGGAAUCACUUCCUUUACUCUCGCUGACCGCCCCGGGACAUAUCUUUAAAAAUUGGAACAUCUUUCGGGUAGAUGAGCUAAAAAGGAAAAGACAUCUUAUGUUACACUGUUUGGCCUGGGUACAAGUUCGCUGACAAUGAAAAGUGGUCAGAGAGUGGAACCAAACCAUGAGCUUCAUCGACAUCCUGCAGCUCUGUCUUUCCGUAGGAAUCAGGGACAAUGGUCCUAAGUACCCUAUAAGCAAGCAUGUGUGGCCUUACAACAGAACCCGGCUCUACGCAGAAGCUGCAGGCUAAAAUCCAGUACAAUAGGGACUUGCCCAGCUGGAGGUACUCGCACUGGGACAUCACACCAUCCAGGGCCAGAGAAACUGCUCCCCUUAUGGGAGGUCCCGAAUGGAGAGGGGACCAUUAUGGCACAUGUCCCAUAAAUGAUCUAAUUUAUGGACUCACAUCAAUAAAUGAUCGAAUCCAAUGGAAGCAAAAAAACAAAAACUCACCUUCUGUAGCAGAGAAAUGGAGAGUAGCCCUAGGAGUCCCCCCAAAACUGAAAGAAACACCAUGUCUGGUUGUGGGAGGAACACCUCGUUCAGUUGUGGGAGAAACGCCUCGUCUGGUUGGCUCCUUUCCAAAGCAGCCGGACUCUGUGCCCUGAAGGUGGCCUGGCUGCCUUAGGGCAGUCACAGCCAUCGCCACUCCAGUAGAAGAAGCCCAAAACCUGACUUUUUUUUUUUUUUUUUUUUUUUUUUUUUGAGACGGAGUCUUGCUCUGUCGCCAGGCUGGAGUGCAGUGGUGCAAUCUCAGCUCACUGCAACCUUCACUUCCUGGGUUCAAGCGAUUCUCCUGCCUCAGCCUCCUGAGUAGCUGGAAUUAUAGGCAUGUGCACCACCACAUCUGGCUAAUUUUUGUAUUUUUAGUAGACGUGGGGUUUCACCACAUUGGCCAAGCUGGUCUCGAACUCCUGACCUCAAGUGAUCCACCUGUCUCGGCCUCCUACAGUGCUGGGAUUAUAGGAGUGAGCCACCUUGCCCGGCCCCAAAACCUGACUUUCAGACACACCUUCGAGGUCCUCUCUCCCCUCCAGGUGCAGGGAGUUUUAGAAAUAAAGGGCCAUGUUGGCUCUUGGGAGGAAGACUC
rnacentral:lncRNA from 1 species